rnacentral:lncRNA from 1 species
CAGCACAGUUCCCAGGGUCCCCAAACCAUGAUCUAGCCCGCAUCUAGCACUCACCUCUUCUUUCCAUCGCCUCCCAAUAACGACAUGGAAUUGUGAUCUUGCCGGUGAAUUGAUCCACUAAGCAAGUUAGAAGCUUCGUGACCCAGUCAUUUCCCCGACCCAGUCUUCAAUUCAAUGAGCAUUUUUUUUGGGGGGUGACAUUUUCAACCUCAGCCACGACAGCACAUGAAGCAAGAAGAAGCCCUCGUCUACUGAGGGUGGCUGGGCUGAGGACCUGCGGUAGAGGCUGAGCAAGGGCUAUGAAGGGAAAGGAAGAAGCCUGGUAGGGACCAGUACGAGUUGGUACGCAGCUUACUUUCUAGUUACACAUUUAACAGAUUCUAGCUACUCCAGACAUUUGUGUGUACAACUGCAAGGCAAGAGAGCAUUUUGACUGAGAGGAGUAGGCAUUAAGGCUGUGUUCAGUGUUUUCACCAAGAUGGCAUCAAAGGCAAAGAAGGAAGCUCCUGCCUCUCCCAAGGCUGAAGCCAAAGCAAAAGCUUUGAAGGCCAAGAAGGCAGGCGGAAAGGCACGUCACCACUCUCCAGUGUCCCAAGACACUGCGGCUCUGGAGACAGCCUGAGCACCCUUGGACAAGGGUCCCCCAGCCUGCUAAUCCCUAUUCUCCUGCAAGCAUCAAAGUCUCGUACGGGAAAUGUAUGCUAUUGUUUUAAGCUCGAGAUUCACCUGUCACCUCUCUUGAGGGGAAGAUGACAACCAAAGUUGCCAAAGUCAGUACCAGAUCAGGCCCGACGGAGUGAAGAAGGCGUAGAUUCCACUGGCUCCUGAUGACGAUGCUUUGGAUGUUGCCAUAAAAAAUGUGAUCAUCUAAAUUGAGUCCAGCUGGCUAAUGUUGCCAUUGGAGGUUGUCAAAGACCCUUGGAUCUUCCAGGUGACCUGAAGCACAGUUUUGGAUCUCUCAUUUUGCUCUGAUCUGCUAUCUGUAACUCAGUGGCCAGCUCUGUGUCAUCUUCCCCUCAAGAGAGGUGACAGGUGAAUCUCGAGCUUAAAACAAUAGCAUACAUUUCCCGUACAAGACUUUGUUGCUAAUAGAGCUAGACAAUCUGGCCUGAGGCAAAAUAGACGUGCA